CUAAUAAGGGCGUAUGGUGGAUGCCUUGGCUUUGAAAGGCGAUGAAGGACGCGGCGUGGCGGCGAUACGCUCCGGGGAGGUGCCAAGCAACCUUCGAUCCGGAGAUGUCCGAAUGAGGAAACUCACUGGAGCGAAAUCUCCAGUACCCCGCAGUAAUGCGGGGAGCAGACCUCGGGAAGUGAAACAUCUCAGUACCGAGAGGAAAAGAGACCAAUAGGUAUUUCGUCAGUAGCGGCGAGCGAACGCGAAUGUGAGCCCAAACUGCAAAGUUUCCCAAACUCCUUGGUAGUUCGAGGGGUUCGGGAAAUUUUCAGGGUUAUAAGGCAUUGAUAGGCCUGAGAGAAAUCGAAUGGCCAAGAAGUUACAAAUUGCUGCGGUAGCCGAACGCGCUGGGAAGCGCGGCCCAAGAGGGUGAAGGCCCCGUAGGCGAAACUGCAGCAACUUCUGCAAUGUCCUUGAGUAGCUCAAGACACGAAUGGCUUGAGUGAAUUUGCCGGAACUAACCGGUAAGGCUACAUACUUUCAAAGACCGAUAGUGAACUAGUACCGUGAGGGAAAGGUGAAAAGAACCCCGGAAGGGGAGUGAAAUAGAUCUGAAACCAUAUGUCUACAAAGAGUCGAAGAGGCCGAGAGUAAUCGAAGCCUCGACGGCGUGCCUAUUGAAGAAUGAGCCUGCGAGUUACCGUAUGCCGCAUAGACUUAAGCCCGCUAGGGCGGAGGUGUAGCGAAAGCGAGCGUGAAUAGCGCGAAAAUAAGUGGCAUGCAGUAGACCCGAAGCAAGGUGAGCUACCCAUGAGCAGGGUGAACUCCGGCGAAAGCCGGAGGGAGGCCCGAACCGUUGAGCCGUUCAAAACUCUCGGAUGACUUGUGGGUUGGAGUGAAAAGCUAAUCGAACCUUGUAAUAGCUGGUUCUCUCUGAAACAGCUUUUGGGCUGGCGUCGCAUUGAUUGGCAGACGGGGGUAGAGCACUGGAAGGAUGAGACAGGGCGAAAGCUCGCUCAUCCUAUCAAACUCCGAAUACCGUUUGCGUUAUGCGGCAGUUAGUACGUGGGGGCUAAGCUCCACCGUACAAAAGGAGAAGAGUCCUAGAUCUCAAGUUAAGGUCCCAAAAUCUACGUUAAGUGCAUCACAAGGAGGUGAAGUCUCGAAGACAAUGAGGAUGUUGGCUUAGAAGCAGCCAUCAUUGAAAGAAAGCGUAACAGCUCACUCAUCGAGAGAUCUCGCGCCGAAGAUAAUCGGGGCUAAAACGUAGUACCGAAACUGAGGAUUCGUCCUGAGAGCAAUCAAAGGACGAGUGGUAAGAGAGCGUUCGCAUCCGCGAUGAAGCUGAAGGCGUGAGCCGCAGUGGAGCGUUGCGAAGUGAGAAUGCAGGCACAAGUAACCGCAAUGCGGGUGAGAUCCCCGCACGCCGAAAGCACAAGGUUUCCUACUCAACGGUGAUCAGAGUAGGGUUAGUCGGUCCUAAGCCGAUGGCGAAAGCCGCAGGUAAUGGACAGUGGGUUAAUAUUCCCACACCGGCGACUCAGUGAUGGAGGGACGGAGCACAUAAACAGUGGCGCCUUAUUGGAUUGGCGUCCGUAGCCGAAGACUUGCAAGGCAGGAAAAUCCGCUUUGCGCUGUCGAAGCAUCGGGGCACUUUCAGGUUCGCCUGAGAGGACCACUGCGAAGAGGCUUCCAAGAAAAACUUCUAAACUAUAUGGGUCGUACGACCGUACCGCAAACCGACACAGGUGUGCAGCUCGAGUAGAGCAAGGCGAACGAGUGAGAGUACUCCAAGGAACUCGGCAAAAAAUCGGCCGUACCUUCGGAAUAAGGCCUGCCGCGCGCGAGCGCGGCCGCAGCGAAAGUAUCCCUGGCGACUGUUUACCAAAAACACAGCUUCCUGCGAACCCGUAAGGGGAUGUAUAGGAGGUGACACUUGACCAAUGCCAGAAGGUCAAAUAUGGCCCGUCCUUUGAUCGCAAGAUUGGAGGGCCGAGCUAUAUAAGCCCUGGUGAAUGUCGGCGAUAACUAUAAUCGUCCUAAGGGCGAAAUUCCUUGUCUGGUAAGUUCAGACGCGCACGAAUAGUGUAACGACUGGGGAACUGUCUCGGAGUACCGCUCGGUGAAAAUACAAUACCGGUGAAGAUGCCGGUUACCUGCAGUUAGACGAAAAGACCCCAGAAGCUUUACUGUAGCUUGAUAUUGUGCAUGCGGCUUUGUUGCGUAGCAUAGGUGGGAGAGGUUGAGGCGGUGCUUUCGGGCGCCGCGGACUCGUCAGUGAAAUACCACUCUGUAAAAUUGUAUGUACUAACCGGACGCGCAAAACGCGUUCGAGACAUUAUCUGGUGGGCAGUUUUAGUGGGGCGCUAUCCUCCUAAAAAGUAACGGAGGAGUUCAUUAAGGUUCCCUAGGCGCGAAUGGAAACCGUGCCGAUAGCGUAAUGGCAAAAGGGAGCUUGACUGCAAGGCGUAAAUGCCGAGCAGGUGCGAAAGCAGGACAUAGUGAACCGACCAUCCGCAUUAGAGGCGGUGGAAGAUUAUCUGACAAAAGCUACUCUGGGGAUAACAGGCUAGUUCCGCCUAAGCGUCCAUAGCGACGGCGGAGUUCGGCACCUCGAUGUCGGCGCGUGCGUGAGACAGGUUGGUCUCCUAUCUACUGCAGGCGUCGAUUCUUGAGAAGAGUUCUUCCUAGUACGAGAGGACCGGAAGGAACUGACCGCUGGUCUACCAGCUCUCCUGCCAAGGGGACCGCUGGGUAGCUAUGUCGGGAACGGAUAAGCGCUGAAAGCAUCUAAGCGCGAAGCCAACUUCAAGAUGAGGAAUCAUUAAGAUCCGUGGGAGAUGACCACGUUGAUAGGUUCUAGGUGUACGUGCCGCAAGGCAUUGAGCCGAGGAAUACUAAUCGAUCGA
rnacentral:rRNA from 1 species